GGGACAAAGCGGUACAGAAAAUGAAUGAAUGUUUGUACUUCCUGUUUUAUAUUGGAAAAUAAUUUGUUCACACCAGUUAGAUGGCAUAUAUGUUCACAACUAACCAGCCAGUUUAUCUGUGAACGAUUCUGUCUGUCAGCUACAUUUUGUACCUGCUUUUUUUUCUGUUUUGUGAAUUUGUCCUUUACUUAAAAAAUACAUAUAUAUGUGUGCUUGUGUGUGUGUAUGCUUUUUACUCACGCUUUAAGUUUCUGUCCUCUCCCUGACAAUUCUUCUACAUUUGCAUGUUGAACUAGCAUCCCACUGCAGCUUAAGUCUGUGAUUUAAACAAGCGAUCUGAUUCAUUUUUUAAGAACUUUUAACACAAACUAUUUUUUCCAACAAAAGACUCUUUAGCGUGGUUAAGAAAAGUUAUUUUCCAUUUAUUCCAGCAUUGAAAAAUAACAUAUUCACAAAAGUUUAAUAAUUUUUCAUGAUAACAGAUUAUCAUUACCUCUGAGGGAUGUCAUGUUGGCUCGAGCUCUCUGAAGGGAUCAAUGUGAUGUCAUCAUGUGAUCAUGUGAUGCAUAAUUCAGACUUAAGAGGAUUAUUGUUGUUUUAUUUUCCUCUGAAAUGCAUUGUCAGUUUGCUUGUUUUGUCUGUUUCAUCCAGGAGGAAGCGUAAACCCGCAGACGGCUGUUUCCCGAUGAGAGGACAGAUGACCAGCAGCCGACCGACAGAUGAAGCUGAAGGCGUGCGCGGUUUUCCUUCUGCUCAGCGCUUUUCUGUGGAGGGCGGCGUGCAGGAUGGCUGACUUCACUCCUGCUGUGCCAACGCUGCAGGAAAAUGUGUCUGUGAAGUCUGGGUUGAACAUUGUCACAUCUGUAAAGAAGAAUGGUUUCUUGCGGCUUCCUGGACUCUGUCGACGUCUGAAGAGAAGAAGAGUCACACUCCUGUGCAACAUGGAGAAAUUUUGUUGGGGUCGGAGUUUGAACAGAAGACAGAAAAUUUCACCUGGACAGGUGUGUCGCUGCCCUCGGCAUUCCAAGUGUUCACAUUUCUUUCUCCACAGCCUCUAAAUAAAAAAUAAUUUUAAAAAUGUGACAUUUCUGUUAUACUAAAGGCAAUUUUUCUUUUUAGCUGUGUGGAAAUGCAAUAACUUGUUUUUCAACAAGAGGAAUACCGUUUUUUUUAUGGCUUUAUAAUGAAUUAGGUUUGAUAAAUCUUGUUUUUUUUUAUUUGUUUAUUUUUAUGUUGUUGUUGGUUUUUGAUUACUUGUUUUGAUUGC